rnacentral:rRNA from 1 species
GAUGAACGCUGGCGGCGUGCCUAAUACAUGCAAGUCGAGCGAACAGACGAGGCUCUUGCUCCUCUUCCGUUAGCGGCGGACGGGUGAGUAACACGUGUAUAACCUACCUAUAAGACUGGGAUACCUUCGGGAAACCUGAUCUAAUACCGGAUAAUAUAUUGAACCGCAUGGUUCAAUAGUGAAAGACGGUUUUGCUGUCACUUAUAGAUGGUUCCUCGCCGCAUUAGCUAGUUGGUAAGGUAAAGGCUUACCAAGGCAACGAUGCGUAGCCGACCUGAGAGGGUGAUCGGCCACACUGGAACUGAGACACGGUCCAGACUCCUACGGGAGGCAGCAGUAGGGAAUCUUCCGCAAUGGGCGAAAGCCUGACGGAGCAACGCCGCGUGAGUGAUGAAGGUCUUCGGAUCGUAAAACUCUGUUAUUAGGGAAGAACAAAUGUGUAAGUAACUAUGCACGUCUUGACGGUACCUAAACAGAAAGCCACGGCUAACUACGUG